CCUACGGGAGGCAGCAGUGAGGAAUAUUGGUCAAUGGGCGGAAGCCUGAACCAGCCAAGUAGCGUGCGGGAUGAAGGCCCUACGGGUCGUAAACCGCUUUUGCACGGGGAUAACACCCUCCACUUGUGGAGGUCUGCAGGUACCGUGCGAAUAAGGGCCGGCUAAUUCCGUGCCAGCAGCCGCGGUAAUACGGAAGGCCCGAGCGUUAUCCGGAUUCAUUGGGCUUAAAGGGAGCGUAGGCGGGCGUUCAAGUCAGCUGUAAAAUCGCGCGGCUCAACCGCGCCCCGCAGUUGAAACUGGACGCAUUGAGUUCACAACAGGCAGGCGGAAUUCGUGGUGUAGCGGUGAAAUGCAUAGAUAUCACGAGGAACCCCGAUUGCGAAGGCAGCCUGCCGGGGUGCGACUGACGCUGAGGCUCGAAGGUGCGGGUAUCAAACAGGAUUAGAGACCCCAGUAGUC
rnacentral:rRNA from 1 species